rnacentral:rRNA from 1 species
UCGAGGAUCUUCGGCAAUGGGCGCAAGCCUGACCGAGCGACGCCGCGUGCGGGAUGAAGGCCUUCGGGUUGUAAACCGCUGUCAGUGGGGAGGAAAUGCCGGUGGGUUCUCCCAUCGGUUUGACCUAUCCGCAGAGGAAGUACGGGCUAAGUUCGUGCCAGCAGCCGCGGUAAGACGAACCGUACGAACGUUAUUCGGAAUUACUGGGCUUAAAGGGUGCGUAGGCUGUGCGGAAAGUUGGGUGUGAAAUACCUCAGCUUAACUGAGGAAUGGCGCUCAAAACUACCGUGCUCGAGGGAGACAGAGGUAAGCGGAACUUAGGGUGGAGCGGUGAAAUGCGUUGAUAUCCUAAGGAACACCGGUGGCGAAAGCGGCUUACUGGUUCUCUUCUGACGCUGAGGCACGAAAGCUAGGGUAGCGAACGGGAUUAGAUACCCCCGUAGUCC